UACAGAGGCCUCGAGCGUUAGGCGGAAUCACUGGGCUUAAAGCGCGUGUAGGCGGACCGUUAAGUGCCUUGUGAAAUCCCACGGCUCAACCGUGGAACCGCUGGGCAUACUGGCGGUCUUGGGCCACUCAGGGGCAACCGGAACAAGCGGUGGAGCGGUGAAAUUCGUAGAUAUUCGGAAGAACACCAGUGGCGAAGGCGACUCACUGGACAUGUAUUGACGCUGAGGUACGAAAGCGUGGGGAGCAAACAGGG
rnacentral:rRNA from 1 species